CGGCCUUCCGCUAGCUAUCCUCAACGGCCCCGUCGGUGUGCCGCAGGACAAAGCAUAGAAGCUGCAACUGACAACACCACCGCUAGCUGCAGCCAGCGGAACCGGCCUCCUCCGCCAACUGUCAGCGGCUAUCGGACCGCUAGCCACACCCCACUAGCAUAGCUCCGCCGGCAAGAUCUCAUCUGCACAAUCUCCGCUGAGUUCCAGUUCACCGCCUAGCACCUAAGCCUUCGCACUCCGCUGGGCAGCCUCCGCUAGGCACCACCAACUGGAAACAGAUCUGCUUGCACCAUCAGGCGGUAACCAGCUCCGCUAGCUGGUUAAGAAUUGAUAUGCAUCUUGAUCUGAUAUGCAACAGCAACCCAAACAGGCCCCGAGCUUUUAUGGCUGUCAAACUCUGCAAAAUAAGAUAAGCCUC
rnacentral:lncRNA from 1 species